GAAGUAAUAGCAGCACACAUAUCAACAACAGUUCAAAAACACGAGAGUAGCCUAGUAAAAAGCGGGAAUAUCAUCAAAACCCAGGAGAUUACAACCAAGCUGAAAAACCAGGAAUUUCCAAACCAACCGAAAACAAACAGUAAACCCAAGCAACACUACUUGAAUGCCAGUAGUAUUAAAAAAUAAGUACAGACCAACAGAGAAAUAACCAGUUUCCAAAAUAGUCCCUUCUGAUUUUAACACUCAAGAAAAGAAGCUUGAAGCUUCAAUGAACAAUAAGAAUUGAUGCUGGUUUUUAACAGUGAAGAUAAGAAACUGAUUUUUCCUCCUAGUACUGAAAAUAUUUUUUUC
rnacentral:lncRNA from 1 species